UACGUAGGUGGCAAGCGUUAUCCGGAUUUAUUGGGUUUAAAGGGAGCGUAGGCGGACAGUUAAGUCGGCGGUCAAAGCCCGGGGCCCAACCCCGGCCAGCCGUCGAAACUGGCGGUCUUGAAUGCGCACAAGGGAGACGGAAUUCGUCGUGUAGCGGUGAAAUGCUUAGAUAUGACGAAGAACUCCGAUUGCGAAGGCAGUCUCCUGGGGCGCGAUUGACGCUGAGGCUCGAAAGUGCGGGUAUCAAA
rnacentral:rRNA from 1 species